rnacentral:rRNA from 1 species
CGAUGUCUACUAGAUUGCGAGAUGUUCUGACACAUUCGCGAUUGAAGCAAAAGUGUUAAGUAGACCACCUGGGGAGUACGGUCAGCAAAGGCUAAAACUCAAAGGAAAUUGACGGGGGCUCACACAAGCGGUGGAGCAUGUGGAUUAAUUCGAAGCAACGCGAAGAACCUUACCUGGGUUUGACAUGUUUGGAUGCCUAUCUAGAAACAGAUUUUGGCUGCCCUUCGGGGUGAAACUUACACAGGUGCUGCAUGGCUGUCGUCAGUUCGUGUCGUGAGACGUCGGGUUAAGUCCUUCAACGAGCGAAACCCUUGCCGUUAGUUACCAGCGAGUAAUGUCGGGGACUCUAACGGGACUGCCGGUGUUAAACCGGAGGAAGGCGGGGACGACGUCAAGUCAUCAUGGCCUUUAUGCCCAGGGCUUCACACGUGCUACAAUGGCGGUUACAGAGGGAAGCAAUAUCGCGAGAUGGAGCAUAUCUCUUAAAGACNGUCCCUUGUACGGAUCGCUUGGCUGUCNANUCGGCUGCGUGAAGGUGGNAUCAGAUAGU